CCUACGGGUGGCAGCAGUGAGGAAUAUUGGUCAAUGGCCGGAAGGCUGAACCAGCCAAGCCGCGUGAAGGACGAAGGUGCCAAGCAUUGUAAACUUCUUUUGUCAAGGGACAAAAUCAGGCGCGAGAGCCUGACCGAGGGUACUUGAAGAAAAAGCAUCGGCUAACUCCGUGCCAGCAGCCGCGGUAAUACGGAGGAUGCGAGCGUUAUCCGGAUUUAUUGGGUUUAAAGGUGGCGUAGGCGGUCUGUUAAGGCAGCGGUAAAAGCCCGGGGCUCAACCCCGGCGAGCCGUUGAAACUGGCUGUCUUGCUCUGUCGUGCGGUAUGCGGAAUGCGCAGUGUAGCUGU
rnacentral:rRNA from 1 species